rnacentral:rRNA from 1 species
UCGAAUCAGGUAGGACUACCCGCUGAACUUAAGCAUA